CCGUCGUACUUCGUAGAGCGAACCGGCUUUUCUCUUCUUCUCCUUGGAUCCCUAAAGUUCUAAUAUUUUUUUUCUAACUUUCCACUCAAUUUUUUUGCUCCCAAGACUUAUUUCUGAACCUCUUAUUUAUAGAUAAAUUUUUCAUCUUUUUUGGGUAGAAAAGAAAAUCUUAAAAUCCAUAGAAAAUGUAUUUUAUCCGUAGAAAUUUUUCUGGCUGUUGGAUCAGCUUUGGACCGCUCAGAUCUGUCCAAAAACUUAUGUUUAAAUCUUUAUUAGGGCCGGAUUCCACCACAGCCGUCCGAUCGCGCUCCAGAUUGAAUUCUGGCCGUCGGAUAGCACAAAAUCACUCCUUAACAAAAUCGAAAACGAUGACAGCCAUCGGAUCUCACG
rnacentral:lncRNA from 1 species